rnacentral:rRNA from 1 species
UACGUAGGGGGCGAGCGUUGUCCGGAUUUAUUGGGCGUAAAGAGCGUGUAGGCGGCCAGGUAGGUCCGUUGUGAAAACUCGAGGCUCAACCUCGAGACGUCGAUGGAAACCAUCUGGCUAGAGUCCGGAAGAGGAGAGUGGAAUUCCUGGUGUAGCGGUGAAAUGCGCAGAUAUCAGGAAGAACACCUAUGGCGAAGGCAGCUCUCUGGGACGGUACUGACGCUGAGACGCGAAAGCGUGGGGAG